UACAGAGACUGCAAGCGUUAUUCGGAUUCACUGGGCGUAAAGGGUGCGCAGGCGGCCAUGUGUGUGAGGCGUGAAAGCCUGGAGCUUAACUCCAGAAUUGCACCUCAAACUACAUGGCUAGAGCAUUGGAGAGGGUAGCAGAAUUCAUGGUGUAGCAGUGAAAUGCGUAGAUAUCAUGAGGAAUACCAGAGGCGAAGGCGGCUUACUGGUCCGGGUUCGACGCUGAGGCGCCGAAAAGC
rnacentral:rRNA from 1 species